GCGCGAUGAUUCAAAUUUGGUGACUAAUGUCUGAGGCGAAUUGGCUAGCCUCGUCUGAAGAAGACGGAACCCAAGGUAUGGCUGUUCACCGCAAGAUCGAAAGUUUAGUCGCUGUAUGAGCGCU
rfam:Onchocerca flexuosa genome assembly, scaffold: OFLC_contig0006086